CCUACGGGGGGCAGCAGUGGGGAAUCUUGCGCAAUGGCCGCAAGGCUGACGCAGCGACGCCGCGUGGGGGAGGAAGGGCUUCGGCUCGUAAACCCCUGUUGCCCGGGACGAACGACGCGUUUCGACGCGUGUGACGGUACCGGGUGAGGAAGCACCGGCUAACUCCGUGCCAGCAGCCGCGGUAAUACGGAGGGUGCGAGCGUUGUCCGGAAUCACUGGGCGUAAAGGGCGCGUAGGCGGUCGGCCAAGCGUGCGGUGAAAGCCCGGGGCUCAACCCCGGGUCGGCCGUGCGAACUGGCUGACUGGAGCACUGUAGAGGCGGGUGGAAUUCCGGGUGUAGCGGUGGAAUGCGUAGAGAUCCGGAAGAACACCGGUGGCGAAGGCGGCCCGCUGGGCAGUGUC
rnacentral:rRNA from 1 species